UAGGGAAUCUUCCGCAAUGGACGAAAGUCUGACGGAGCAACGCCGCGUGAGUGAUGAAGGUUUUCGGAUCGUAAAACUCUGUUGUUAGGGAAGAACAAGUUGGGUAGUAACUGACCCAACCUUGACGGUACCUAACCAGAAAGCCACGGCUAACUACGUGCCAGCAGCCGCGGUAAUACGUAGGUGGCAAGCGUUGUCCGGAAUUAUUGGGCGUAAAGCGCUCGCAGGCGGUCUUUUAAGUCUGAUGUGAAAGCCCACGGCUUAACCGUGGAGGGUCAGUGGAAACUGGAGGACUUGAGUACAGAAGAGGAGGGUGGAAUUCCACGUGUAGCGGUGAAAUGCGUAGAGAUGUGGAGGAACACCAGUGGCGAAGGCGACUCUCUGGUCUGUAACUGACGCUGAGGAGCGAAAGCGUGGGUAGCGAACAGG
rnacentral:rRNA from 1 species